UACGAAGGGGGCUAGCGUUGCUCGGAAUCACUGGGCGUAAAGGGUGCGUAGGCGGGUCUUUAAGUCAGGGGUGAAAUCCUGGAGCUCAACUCCAGAACUGCCUUUGAUACUGAAGAUCUUGAGUUCGGGAGAGGUGAGUGGAACUGCGAGUGUAGAGGUGAAAUUCGUAGAUAUUCGCAAGAACACCAGUGGCGAAGGCGGCUCACUGUCCCGAUACUGACGCUGAGGCACGAAAGCGUGGGGAGCAAACAGG
rnacentral:rRNA from 1 species